rnacentral:rRNA from 1 species
AUUGAACGCUGGCGGCAUGCCUAACACAUGCAAGUCGAACGGGGGCAGCAAUGCCCUAGUGGCGGACGGGUGAGGAAUACGUAGGAACCGGCCCACGAGUGGGGGACAACCUGGGGAAACCCAGGCUAAUACCGCAUACGCUCGCGAGAGGAAAGCGGGGGACCUUCGGGCCUCGCGCUGGUGGACGGGCCUACGUCCGAUUAGCUAGUUGGUGGGGUAAAAGCCUACCAAGGCGACGAUCGGUAGCUGGUCUGAGAGGAUGAUCAGCCACACUGGGACUGAGACACGGCCCAGACUCCUACGGGAGGCAGCAGUGGGGAAUAUUGGACAAUGGGCGCAAGCCUGAUCCAGCAAUGCCGCGUGGGUGAAGAAGGCCUGCGGGUUGUAAAGCCCUUUAAGCGGGGAGGAAAGCCGGGGUGUGAAUAGCGCCUCGGGGUGACGUUACCCGCAGAAUAAGCACCGGCUAACUCCGUG